GGCCCGGACUCCGGGUUUUGAUUGGUGGGUCCAGGUGCUCGUCACUGCCCCCUAGCGCGGCGAGCCUGGAACCCUCGCUAGCAAGUACGUUAACACUGUCAAGAUCACUGUGAAGAAUGGGACCUGAACUCUUCCUUUUUCCAGACACCACCCAUCUCCUUCCUUUUACAGCUGUGGUUUGUUUUUGAAGGUGACGCCAAGCUGGACCCUGUGGGGCUCCCGGCAUCAGGGCUUGACGAGUGACCCUCGACCAAGCCAGUCAGGGCAUCCAGUCCUCCUGGCCAGGAGUGUGAACCCUGGGUCCUGAAGCGUGAACCCUGAGACACUUGUAAACGGCAGGAAAGAAAAGCUCGCUGUGUCUUCAGCUGGACUUGGUGCUCGGAGGAAAGCCUGAAGCUAGCCGGUCCCUGUAUCACCAUCAGGGAAAAGCCCGGCUGGGAAAUGAGUGGGGCCGAGAGGGAGAGAGGUGGUCCAGAGAGCCCCCGUGGAGCCCCAAAUUCACUGCAUUACUUGACUUUCCUGGUCCUCAGCCAGUAAAUUCCUUUCUUGCAUGACCAAUUUGAAUUUUGAGUCAUUUUUUCAACUUAGGUAAUAUCAGAAAAGAGGUUUCAACAUGAAGAAGGGAAAACAAGUGUUGGCAAGAAUGUGGAGACAUUAGAAACUUCAUAUGUUGCUGAUAGGAACAUGAAAUGGUGUGGCUACUUUAGAAAACAGCCUGGCAGUUCCUCAAAGUCUCCAGCAGGAGAGUCAGCGUGACCCAGCGGUUCCUCUCCUAGGCAUGCAGAGAGCAUGCUCACAGCAAGGCCUGGACAGAAAUGUGCAUGCAGCACUAUCUACAGCAGCCAAAAUCAGAAACCUGGGUCCCUUCCUGACUGACGGAUAAGCCAAGUGUGGUGAGUGACUCUGGUGGAACACUCGCCACACCAAUCAGUGAAGGAGUGCCAUAUGUCACAACGCGGAUGAGCCUUGAAAACACUAUGCUGAGUGACAGAGUGAGCGAGCGAAGUCGCUCAGUCGUGUCCAGCUCUUUGCAACCCCGUGGACUGUAGCCUGCCAGGUCCCUCCAUCCAUGGGAUUUUCCCGACAAGCAUACUGGAGUGCGUUGCCAUUUCCUUCUCCAGGGGAUCUUCCCGACCAGAUACAGAAGGACACAUAGCCCACUUACACUGAAUGUCCAGAACAGGCAAAUCCAUUGAGACAGAAAAGAGAUUAGUGGCUGUAAAGGGCUGGGGCAGGGACAGGAAUGGGAAGCGACUGCUGAUAGCCACAGGUUUCUCUGGGGGGUGAUAAAGAUGUUCUGGAAUUAGUGGUGAUGAUUGCGUAACCUUGUGAAUAUAUUAAAAAGUACCGAAUUAUACUUCACGAGGGUGCAUUUCACGGUACGUGAAUUAUGUUGCCGUUAAGUCACUUCAGUCAUGUCCGACUCUUUGGGACUCCACAGACUAGUCCGCCAGGCUCCUCU